AAAAAAAAUCUAUAGAAAAAAAAAAAGUUUCCCCUCCCUCAUCAACAAAAGCCCACCCUCUAAGAGACAUUCAAGCUGAACUAUCACAAUUCUUAAUCAGUUACAAUUUACAAACAGAUAAGUUUAAAAUAAACAAUUUACAAAAUUUUUGAAGCAUACCUUAACAUCUUGUUUUGCAGUUAAACAAUGGAAAAGUAUUUCUCCUACACUAAAAAAAAACUUGCUUACACACAACUGAAAAUAGAAUCUUACUUGAUAAUACAAAAGCUACCAUCAGAAGAAAUCCCUUCAGGAUCAUUAAGCCACUUCCUUUGCUCUGCAGUUUCUAUAGUAGUUUUAAAUUAUUAUUAAAUCACCUGAAAAAAAUUCCAAAAGAGAACCACACACUACCAUAUCCAAACAACUUUUGCAUUUCCCAUAAUUGUAGUUAAUGUCAGCCCAGUAGGCCAGACCAACCCCCAGUUCAAUACUUUCCUUCCCCAAAAGCUCUAUACUUUGAAGGAAAACAGAUACAGUAUCAAAUUAUGACACUUUCCUUGCCCAAAUUAAUGCACUGGUACACCCAGUGGCUCAUAUUUAACUUCCCCCAGCUUCCCAAUUCAAACUGGGGGGAAAAAAACUAAAUCAUUGGGAGUUACUUGCCAACUUGGAAGUUGAUAUUUCUUUACUUUUUCCAUUCUAAGACUUUAAGUUCUCUGGCAUGAGUUUAUCUGCAAUCAUAAACUAAACAAUUACCUAAACCCACCCCACCAAUCCCAACCGUAACAGGCCACUGCCAACUAAUUGCCAAUAUUUGCCCCUCCCCUUUAAUAAAACUUUUAAGAAGUCACAUUAUUGGAAAACUUAACUUCAACAUUUGGCCUACUCAAGCUCUUCUGAAGUUCUCCUGAGAUGACUGAAUAUGAACCAAAGCUGCACUGUGCUGUACUUUUCAGCUUCAACUGGGAAUACUCUUCCAAGGAUAAAAGCAGCUCCAGUCCCUGAAGGUGUUCGUGCCAACAGCACAGCGGUACACUCCUUCUCUAACCCAGUUUGUCAAUAGUACUAUAGCAUCUGUGGAAAAUCUUAGAAAAAAACAUUUUCUCCCCCACCCUCUCUCUUCCCUGUUAAGACCAUCCCAAAAUGCUUCAAGUAAAAAAUAACAAGUUUAAGGGGUUAAGCACUUUUAAAGUCUGAUUAAGGGGGUGGGGGGAAAAAAGAGUAACUACCAGCCAUUUCUCCAAUGGACAUCUCUUCCACAGACCUCAACGUGAGAACUGCUCUAGUUUCUAUAAACUGUAAACCUGUGGUGGUCUGAUUAUCCUGAUAUUGGAUUUUCUUGUUUUCUGUUACACCUUGAGUCAUUUGCCUUUAGGAUUCUAGACAGACCUAAGGGAAAAAGAACUGAAAACAUAUUUUGCCCCCACCCCCACAAAAAAAAAUACUGAAAACUCCCCCCCGCCUCAGUUACACAUCCAAACUCUACAUUUACAAAACGAAUUCAGGGUGAGGAAGUAAAAACAGGUCAUCUAUUCACAAAACUGAAAUACUUCAUUACCCCAACUAAACAUACAAACUGCUUACAGAUUUGCUGAAAUUGUCUCAAUUUGGCUAUCAAAUUCAUUUGGUUUUCCUCAAAUUCGUGUAAAAAAAAAAAACCCACAAACUUGCCAUCUACUAUUUCUCCAGGACUUGGCAGUCUGCCCUCAAAAGCUUCAGACAAGAUUCAUGAGUAUAAGCCUGAAAAAGAGAAACCUACAACACCCGGAAAUCGGCCUACGUCCCCAUAUAAAUCCCUUUACACCUCAGUACGAAACUCCCCCAUUAUAUUAGAAAAUAAAUAAAAGGUUACCAUAAGUAAGUUCCAGAAAAACAACAUAUUGCCGACCUCACGGAUUUUUACCAACCACUCGCUUUCCCUGUGGCCUUGGCACACUGGCAUGCUGGUCUAGGAUCCUCUACGCACAACGCCUGCUCGCCUCCUCCGUGUGGUUGCCAAGCCAAGCCGCCUGCUACCUUCAUCACCAAAUUGCACUCGCUCCUUCCUGGAAUCCUUUUUCCUAGCUUCACCACCAAAUCGUUAGCGCUCCUUCCUUCUUCCUAGCUUCCUUCACCAAAUCGCACUGGCUCCUGGACUCUUUUCCUAUCUUCACCACGAACUGCUGCUUGCUCGCUUGCUCCUCAGUCCUAGCUUCAUCAAACACUGGUUCCUGGAAUCCUGUCUGCUGCUGUCUUCCUAGAUUCACUGAAUCCACUUCUGUGUAGCACCUGGGUCAGCUGUCAAUUAAUGCUAGUCCUCAGGAUUUAAAAAAUAAUCUUAACUCAAAGUCCAAUGCAAAAACAUUAAGUUGGUAAUUACUCUUGAUCUUGAAUUACUUCCGUUACGAAAGUCCUUCACAUUUUUCAAACUAAGCUACUAUAUUUAAGGCCUUCCAAAUUCUUCUAACUCUUCCAAAAGCCUUCUGCCUUAGUUUUUUUUAAAUUACACCAGUCCUUUUAGUAGCUUUUUGAUGUGAUUUUUAACCAACUUCCCCUUCUAGCUUCAAGUAUUCUUCUAAAUUGGUUCUGGUCUACGUAAACACCCUCAUCUUCUCAAGCUUUACCUUCUAACUUCUGCACCACCAGAAAUUAAAUUGAUGGGCUUUUAAAAUAAAUUGGUUACCAAUAAUUUCCUCAUUUUUUCAGUGCUAUUUUAUCCAAUUUUUGGCUUUAUAUUUUUCUAUCUUCUAUACUUCUCCAAUACUUGUCUUAGCUUGUUUUUCAUUUUCUAUCUGAAACUCUUGACAAUAUUUUCAUUUUCUAUCUUGUUUCUAUCUUCCAAUUUUCUUCUAAGUUUGUACAUUUUGCCCUUAGCUUUUUGUUUCCUAGCUUGUCUUUUUUCUUCUGCUUCCUACUUUUCAGGUUUAAAUUUAUCUUUUUUCUUCUAAAAGUAUGUUUUUAUCUUCUAAUUUCCCUAUCUUCUCUAUUCUUUUCUUCGCCUUCCCGUACUUCUGUCUUCCAGUUUUCCACUUCAAACUUCUAUCUUCUCCAAAUUGUUUCAUCCUACCACUCCCAAUUAAUCUUUCCAUUUUCGUCUGCGUUUAGUAAAUGCGUUAACUAGGCUUUAAAUGACGCAAUUCUCCCUGCGUCAUGGAUUUCAAGGUCUUUUAAUCACCUUCGGUUUAAUCUCUUUUUAAAAGAUCGCCUUCAAAUUAUUUUAAUCACCUACAACUUUUAAACUAAACUUUAAGCUGUUUAAGUCACCUUCAUUUUAAUCUAAAAGCAUUGCCCUUCUAUUGGUAUUAAUUCGGGGCUCUGUAGUCCUUUCUCUCAAUUUUCUUUUAAAUACAUUUUUUACUCCAUGAAGAAGCUUCAUCUCAACCUCCGUCAUGUUUUAGAAACCUUUUAUCUUUUCCUUCCUCAUGCUACUCUUCUAAGUCUUCAUAUUUUCUCUUAAAAUCUUAAGCUAUUAAAAUUACGUUAAAAACUUAACGCUAAGCAAUAUCUUAGUAACCUAUUGACUAUAUUUUUUAAGUAGUUGUAUUAAUCUCUAUCUUUCAAAGAGAAAAAAACUUAUCUGCGGUUUCCUCAAGCUCCGCCUGCCCCCUCAGCAGAAGCCCC
rnacentral:lncRNA from 1 species